UUGACGGGACCCGCACAAGCGGUGGAUGAUGUGGUUUAAUUCGAUGCAACGCGAAAACCUUACCCACCUUUGACAUGGCAGGAAUCCCGAAGAGAUUUGGGAGUGCUCGAAAGAGAACCUGCACACAGGUGCUGCAUGGCUGUCGUCAGCUCGUGUCGUGAGAUGUUGGGUUAAGUCCCGCAACGAGCGCAACCCUUGCCAUUAGUUGCUACGAAAGGGCACUCUAAUGGGACUGCCGGUGACAAACCGGAGGAAGGUGGGGAUGACGUCAAGUCCUCAUGGCCCUUAUAGGUGGGGCUACACACGUCAUACAAUGGCCGGUACAGAGGGUAGCCAACCCGCGAGGGGGAGCCAAUCCCACAAAGCCGGUCGUAGUCCGGAUCGCAGUCUGCAACUCGACUGCGUGAAGUCGGAAUCGCUAGUAAUCGCGGAUCAGCAUGUCGCGGUGAAUACGUUCCCGGGUCUU
rnacentral:rRNA from 1 species